GAGUGGCAAACGGGUGAGUAACACGUAAGUAACCUACCCCUAAGUAGGGGAUAACUCUGAGAAAUUGGAGCUAAUACCGUAUGUGGUGGUGGAGGUAAGGCUUCAUCACUAAAGCCUUAGGGCGCUUGGGGAGGGGCUUGUGUCCGAUUAGCUAGUUGGUAGGGUAAUGGUUUACCAAGGCGAUGAUCGGUAGCUGGUCUGAGAGGAUGAUCAGCCACACUGGGACUGAGACACGGCCCAGACUCCUAUGGGAGGCAGCAGCAAGGAAUUUUGUGCAAUGGGCGAAAGCCUGACACAGCGACGCCGCGUGAGGGAUGAAGGCCUUCGGGUUGUAAACCUCUUUUCUCAGGGAAGAAUAAUGACGGUACCUGAGGAAUAAGUCUCGGCUAACUACGUGCCAGCAGCCGCGGUAAUACGUAGGAGGCGAGCGUUAUCCGGAUUUACUGGGCGUAAAGAGGGCGUAGGCGGCUUUUCAAGUCGGGUGUAAAAUCUCCCCGCUUAACGGGGAGGGGUCAUCCGAUACUGUUAAGCUAGAGGGCAGCAGAGGGAGGUGGAAUUCCCGGUGGAGUGGUGAAAUGCGUAGAUAUCGGGAGGAACACCAGUGGCGAAGGCGGCCCCCUGGGCUGUUUCUGACGUUGAGGCCCGAAAGCGUGGGGAGCGAACAGGAUUAGAUACCCUGGUAGUCCACGCUGUUAACGAUGGAUACUAGGUAUAGGGAGUAUCGACCCUCUCUGUGCCGAAGCUAACGCG
rnacentral:rRNA from 1 species